CCUUCGAUAGCUCAGUUGGUAGAGCGGAGGACUGUAGAGGAACAUGGUAAUCCUUAGGUCGCUGGUUCGACUCCGGCUCGAAGGA
rnacentral:tRNA from 1 species